rnacentral:snRNA from 1 species
AUUUAUAAUCAUGAAUCUAACACCUUGGAAUUAUACGAAGAAGAUUAGUUUGGCACCUACAGAAGGAUGAAGCACAAAUUCAUGAAUAUUAUAUUUAU